ACGUUAUUGGAGGAUAGAGGAUUGAGUAAGAGAGCCCAAAAAUUUGAUUGGAGGAGCCGACUCCGGAUGUGCUUGACUGAACACUGAUUGGAGAACAAGGGGUCAGGAAGAGCAGUUCCGCACGAGGAUUGGGCGGUGGCGUGUCCCAUGGAAACGGAAUCCAGAACUGCAGCCAGGGUUUUUCACGGGGGCGGAGCCGGCUCUUCCCCAGGCGCCUGCGCCUAACCGGUUCCCCGGCGCCAUUUUGUCCCGGCAGCAGCAGCCCGCAGCUCUAUCCCAUUUUCUGUGUCUGGAGGGAAGGACGCGGACUCUCUCGGAGUUGUGCUGAAGACAACAGACACCUCCAUGACAACCCAAAGUAUCACAGAGGAAAUGAAAAGCUGUGGACUCAUUCAAAGUUAAUUAAGAUUAGGUAUGACCAUGGAAGACUUGUGUAUGACCAUGGAAGACUUCUAGAGAAUCUUGACUGGUGAUGUGGAAAAAGAGACCCAGAAGAACAAAAAAACAGGUGACUGUAAUGCUGGUCCCCCUGUGCAGGAACAGCUCAGGAGACUGUCGGAGACAUGAGUGUCCUUGUAGAAGCCAGCAGUCUUGUUGGCUGUCAGGUCCUCAGGACUUAGUAUUAUUACAUGUCAUCCUUUCAUGUGGCAUGAAUGAGGAUUUAUAAAGCCCUAUUACGGUUUGGUUAUGCAGUCCAAACAGACUUACAAAGAUUUACAGAUUAAUUUUACUGCUCAAGCAUAGAGCAGAGACUCCUCAUUAGCUAAUUUGUGCAUACUACACUUUCCGUACACGUGUUACUGCAAAAAUGUCCCUACAGUGUUACCAGAGCUGGGGCAGGAAGUAAGGGUGGAAUUCCUGAGCUCACUGACACUGAUGCUGAAGGAAGCAGGAGGUGGGCGGAGCUGGCAGUGGUGAGAGCCACGUGGAUACAUGGGAUGGUGGAGGAGUCAGGAAAAGUUAGUAGCUAGCUGAGACUGUCCUAGCAAAAGACCAACAGCUUUAUUUUCUUCAAAAUUUAAUAAUAAACUGUAGAAAUAAACUAUUUUGAAAGAGUAGUUCAUAGAUUCCAUUGAGAAUGUAAUUAAUUGACCUGUUUAGUAUUUUUUAUUGAAAAAAUAAAUUGAGAUUCUUUUUUUUUUUUUAAA